rnacentral:rRNA from 1 species
GACGAACGCUGGCGGCGUGCUUAACACAUGCAAGUCGAGCGGUAAGGCCCUUUCGGGGGUACACGAGCGGCGAACGGGUGAGUAACACGUGGGUGACCUGCCCUCAGCUCUGGGAUAAGCCUGGGAAACCGGGUCUAAUACUGGAUAUGACUCCAUGACGCAUGUUGUGGGGUGGAAAGCCUUGUGCGGCUGAGGAUGGGCCCGCGGCCUAUCAGCUUGUUGGUGGGGUGANGGCCUACCAAGGCGACGACGGGUAGCCGGCCUGAGAGGGCGACCGGCCACACUGGGACUGAGACACGGCCCAGACUCCUACGGGAGGCAGCAGUGGGGAAUCUUGCGCAAUGGGCGAAAGCCUGACGCAGCGACGCCGCGUGAGGGAUGACGCC